rnacentral:rRNA from 1 species
UAGGGAAUCUUCCGCAAUGGGCGAAAGCCUGACGGAGCAACGCCGCGUGAGUGAUGAAGGUCUUCGGAUCGUAAAACUCUGUUAUUAGGGAAGAACAAAUGUGUAAGUAACUAUGCACGUCUUGACAGUACCUAAUCAGAAAGCCACGGCUAACUACGUGCCAGCAGCCGCGGUAAUACGUAGGUGGCAAGCGUUAUCCGGAAUUAUUGGGCGUAAAGCGCGCGUAGGCGGUUUUUUAAGUCUGAUGUGAAAGCCCACGGCUCAACCGUGGAGGGUCAUUGGAAACUGGAAAACUUGAGUGCAGAAGAGGAAAGUGGAAUUCCAUGUGUAGCAGUGAAAUGCGCAGAGAUAUGGAGGAACACCAGUGGCGAAGGCGACUUUCUGGUCUGUAACUGACGCUGAUGUGCGAAAGCGUGGGGAUCAAACAGG